rnacentral:rRNA from 1 species
GUAGGUGGCAAGCGUUGUCCGGAAUUAUGGGGCGUAAAGCGCGCGCAGGCGGUUCUUUAAGUCUGAUGUGAAAGCCCACGGCUCAACCGUGGAGGGUCAUUGGAAACUGGAGAACUCGAGUACAGAAGAGGAAAGCGGAAUUCCACGUGUAGCGGUGAAAUGCGUAGAGAUGUGGAGGAACACCAGUGGCGAAGGCGGCUUUCUGGUCUGUAACUGACGCUGAGGCGCGAAAGCGUGGGGAGCAAACAGGGAUUAGAUACCCUGGUAGUCCACGCCGUAAACGAUGAGUGCUAAGUGUUAGGGGGUUUCCGCCCCCUUAGUGCUGCAGCUAACGCAUUAAGCACUCCGCCUGGGGAGUACGGCCGCAAGGCUG